rnacentral:lncRNA from 1 species
CUGUCUUACCCAGAAGAUGCUCAAGGAAGUUCACUCAUUAGGCGGUGGCUCAUUCUUAUUUUCCACACCUCUGAGUAGUUUGUAGACGUAAAGAUGUGGUCCCAAAUUUCAACCAAGUAGCCUCAAAGAUGAGAGUACGCAGUUAGACAUGAACAUACAUAUUCCAUGAACAUGGUUGAUUUUGCGGAUUGCUACCAAUAAAAAGUUCUAUCACAUUUACUUUUAAAAUUAGAUUUGAAGUUAAUUUCAUUUUGACAUGAUUUGAGAUGAUUUUAUGUAACAUCAUCUAAAAAGUUAAGAUUAGAGUGGAUUAAAAUAAACAGAACUGGGAAUACUUUAUUCACUCAGUCACUCACUCAAGUUUGUCUAAAUGGAUGUCCAGAUGAUCAAAAAGACGGCAUCUGUCCGUGUAGUCUAAAGUCACACAGACAUUCGUAUUUUCUGAAGAUCAAGAAUUACAAAUCCAUACGCUGUACAAAUUCCAUAGAGGUUAAACCUCACCUCGUAAAUAGGUGUUGACUUUUAAAACUGACAA